ACAGAGGUCGGCACACCGAGGUCUGACACAAACACAGACAGCAGAGGUUCACCGUGUUCCUGCAGCCAAUCAGAACGACUGCGCCACGAUACAACAGGUAACCCUCCUCUGAUGACCAGUGUUUUUGUGCUGACACCUGGAGCUUUAUGUCUGAGGUUACGGAGCCGUUACUCAUCAUCCUCGGACUAUCUGACACAUUCAGAAGGCUAAACACAGCACAGCAGCGUUUUCUGUCUUACUGACUUAUAACAGCAAGGACAUUAAUUUUCAUGGUGUUGAAACCGUUGCUGCUUCUAAGACGUGGCCAGAGGACCUGACUGAGACGCUUUAUCUGGAGAGGAUACGAUAGAAAGACUCGUACAGUUUAACAGGACCUGGAAACCCCUCAAAGCAAAUCCUGUAAAAGUAAAUCCUGUGUCGAGAUGAGUGACCAGUGAAUGUCACUGCAUGGGGAGGCAGGUGGGAGUAGGUACGAGGUUGGUAGAGAGGAGGAUUGCUAUCAUCACUAAUUUAUUUAUUCAUCUUUAUGAAUUUGUUUCUUAUUUCUAACCUUGUUACCUUUUUUUUUGUAUUUGAACAGUUCAGUUUCAUUCAAUCUGUGAUUUUAUUUUGAAAUUCCUUGGUUUCCUAAUAACCUCAAUGCCACAUGCACAACUGUACGAGCUCUGAAUGCAGUAAUGCUCAAUAAAAAGAUGUUUGUUAAAGAUA